AUUGAACGCUGGCGGCACGCUUAACACAUGCAAGUCGAACGGCAGCACAGGUGCUUGCACCGGGUGGCGAGUGGCGGACGGGUGAGUAAUGCGUAGGAAUCUGCCCAGUAGUGGGGGACAACUCGGGGAAACUCGAGCUAAUACCGCAUACGCCCUACGGGGGAAAGCGGGGGAUCUUCGGACCUCGCGCUAUUGGAUGAGCCUAAGUCGGAUUAGCUUGUUGGUAGGGUAACGGCCUACCAAGGCGACGAUCCGUAGCUGGUCUGAGAGGACGAUCAGCCACACUGGGACUGAGACACGGCCCAGACUCCUACGGGAGGCAGCAGUGGGGAAUAUUGGACAAUGGGGGCAACCCUGAUCCAGCAAUGCCGCGUGUGUGAAGAAGGCCUGCGGGUUGUAAAGCACUUUCAGUAGAGAAGAAAAGCUUAGGGUUAAUACCCCUGAGUCUUGACGUAACCUACAGAAGAAGCACCGGCUAACUCCGUG
rnacentral:rRNA from 1 species